GCCAGAUGUGCUGACCUGGCUGUGAGCGUUAAUAAGUGGAAAGGACACAGAACAGUGCUGGGACACUGCAAGCCAUAUUUAAAGCACCACGGAGAUGAAUUGGAGGGGAUUGAAACAGGAGAUGGGAAGACCCGUUUGAUUCCCAUGGCUGGGAUGAUGAAGAAACUGAAACAGGAUUACUGGGAUAAAUAUGGGAAACAUUAAAGAGAUAGUCGCCAUUGGAACUUCAUGACAAAGAGACAGUCCUGCGACAAUGGAGGCAGAAAUUAGAGGGAUGCAGCCACAAGCCAAGAAACACCAAGGAGUGCUCCCAAACACCAGAAGCUCGAAGAUGCAAGGAAAGAUUCUUCCCUGCAGGUCUCAGAGGGAGCCUGGCCCUGCUGACACCCUGACUUGAGACUUCUAGCCUUCAGCACUCUGAGAGA